ensembl:lncRNA
CUAAACUCUGGAAAGCUGAAUACUGCCCUUGUAUCCACCGGGUUUUUCUUUUCUUUAGAUCGACACAGUGUUGGUUCUUGACCGACAGUGGGGGAUCAGUGCCCGUGAAGAUGUGCAGACAAGGCAUGUUUCAGACUCCCAGAAGCUGUUUGUUUGCCAUACUGUGAGGAAGCAGGUGUGGGCCAGCACCACUGCACGCUCCUGUUGCACUAUGAGGACAUGGUUUAGGACCAGACCGAGUUGCCCCAAGAUCAAUUCCUUCCCGUGACUGUCAGGUAUGACCUGACCAUACCUCUCCAUGGGACAGUGCAUAUCUGGACAAAGAAGAAAAAGUUGG